ACAAAAGAGGAACUUUGGUCGGGAGGUUGGCACGACCGUGCUGCAAGCGGCACAGUUGGUUGGCUGGAGGCGUGAGGGGGUCGUCAGUCGAGUGGCUAUCUCCCGACAAGGUACAUUCAGCUAUAUGUGUGGAUACUGUCUGAGAAACAGAACUGGUGGCAAAGAAGAAAUAAAUUUCUCUCAAUGAGAUAACAUUCUGUAAAGUUUUGAAUGUAUGUAUAAAGUUGUUGCAACUCAUUAAGAGCUCUCAUUCUCAAGUACCAAAUAAAGGAAAUCUAUCUCCAGAAACAGGCAAUGAUGGUGAAGCAGUAUGGGGAUGUGCCUUUAUUACCAAUCAUGUUAAAGAACUGCAGCAAGAGAAACUUGCAUUGUCAUGGGCAAGAGAUCAAAAAAAUGAGCCGUUCAUGAAGAAAAAUAAAAAAUGCUGUUCUCUACUGUAUAAAGUGUAAAACUGUAGGCAGACCAGUUCCCUUUGUUUUCAUCAGCCUGUUGUCAUUCUAAUGCUCACAUUCUGACUGGUGGCUUUGCAUGAUGAAACCAGUCUGACUGCAUCAUGUUCUAUGUACCAAGUGUAAUUUAUGGUACAAGUUGAUUCAUUAUGCAUAUUGCGAUCCCUGUUUUUUAAUUGUCAAACAUUUUGUAAAUAUUUCUUUAAAAAAGUUGUCUUGAUUAUUUUGAUGAAUGUAAACAUAAGAGAAGUAUGUGAGUAUGGCGAAAUUUAAUAAUCUUGACCAAUAUGUUGUUAUCUUUGUAUUUAACAAUCUAUGGACUAUCCAUACGUAAAGUAAGUUAGUUGCUAUGGAGUAGUUUGUGGAGAGAAGUUAUGUAUGGCCACAUGUGAUCGAAGAUGGAUGAGUGUUGCCCAUUAUGUCUAAAUAACAAUGCCCAAAUGUAUUUUUUUUUUAUAAUUCUUAACCACACAGAUAAACUGUUAUUUUACAUUUGUGAAAUGAUUUCAAGUAUAUAUCAACAAAGUGA